rnacentral:rRNA from 1 species
CUCAGGAUGAACGCUAGCGGCAGGCCUAAUACAUGCAAGUCGAACGAUAUUUUCCAGCUUGCUGGAAGAGAAAGUGGCGCACGGGUGCGUAACGCGUAUGCAACCUACCUUCAUCAGGGGGAUAGCCCGGAGAAAUCCGGAUUAAUACCGCAUAAAAUCACAGGAUGGCAUUAUCCAAUGAUCAAACAUUUAUGGGAUGGAGAUGGGCAUGCGUGUCAUUAGCUAGUUGGCGGGGUAACGGCCCACCAAGGCGACGAUGACUAGGGGAUCUGAGAGGAUGGCCCCCCACACUGGUACUGAGACACGGACCAGACUCCUACGGGAGGCAGCAGUAAGGAAUAUUGGUCAAUGGAGGCAACUCUGAACCAGCCAUGCCGCGUGCAGGAAGACUGCCCUAUGGGUUGUAAACUGCUUUUAUCCGGGAAUAAACCUCAUUACGUGUAAUGAGCUGAAUGUACCGGAAGAAUAAGGAUCGGCUAACUCCGUGCCA